UACGGAGGGUGCAAGCGUUGUCCGGAUUUAUUGGGUUUAAAGGGUGCGUAGGUGGCUGAUUAAGUCAGUGGUGAAAGUCUGUAGCUUAACUAUAGAAUUGCCAUUGAUACUGAUUAGCUUGAGUAUAGACGAGGUAGGCGGAAUUCAUGGUGUAGCGGUGAAAUGCAUAGAUACCAUGAAGAACACCGAUAGCGAAGGCAGCUUACUAGGCUAUAACUGACACUGAGGCACGAAAGCGUGGGGAGCGAACAGG
rnacentral:misc_RNA from 1 species